rnacentral:rRNA from 1 species
CCCUACGGCCAUGCAACCCUGAACAAGCCCAAUCCCGUCUGAUCUCGGAAGUUAAGCAGGGUCAGGCGUGGUUCGUACUGGGAUGGGAGACCACCUAGGAAGACCAGCUGCUGUAGAUG